CUGGUGGCCUCUGAUUGACAGGCACCGGAAGCAACGCCUGCUACAUGGAAGAGAUGCGUAAUGUGGAGCUGGUGGACGGAGAGGAGGGACGGAUGUGUGUCAACAUGGAGUGGGGAGCAUUUGGGGACAAUGGCUGCCUGGAUGACUUGCGGACCGUGUUUGAUGUUGCUGUGGAUGAGCUUUCUCUCAACCCUGGCAAACAGAGGUUCGAGAAGAUGAUCAGCGGCAUGUACUUGGGAGAGAUUGUGCGCAACAUUCUCAUCGAUUUCACGAAGCGGGGGCUGCUCUUCCGAGGCCGCAUCUCAGAGCGCCUCAAGACAAGGGGAAUCUUUGAAACUAAGUUCCUGUCUCAGAUAGAGAGCGACUGCCUAGCCCUGCUACAGGUUCGUGCCAUCCUGCGCCACCUAGGGCUGGAGAGCACGUGCGAUGACAGCAUCAUCGUGAAGGAGGUGUGCACUGUGGUUGCCCGGCGCGCUGCACAGCUCUGUGGCGCAGGCAUGGCCGCCGUAGUGGACAAGAUAAGAGAGAACCGUGGGCUGGACAACCUCAAAGUGACAGUGGGCGUGGACGGGACUCUGUAUAAGCUUCAUCCUCACUUUGCCAAGGUCAUGCAUGAGACGGUGAGAGAUCUGGCUCCGAAAUGUGACGUGUCCUUCCUGGAAUCCGAGGACGGCAGUGGGAAGGGAGCAGCUCUCAUCACUGCCGUGGCCUGCCGCAUCCGGGAGGCUGGGCAGAGAUAGAAGCUUGGGGACCAGACGGGGCUUCUCUGCUUCCUCACUUCCCCGUUUUAAAUUAUGAGAAGAUGGACCCCUUGGCAGAGAGGACCCUGUGAGACUGGGACUUUUGUCUCUGUAUAUUCACUGUAGAGUUUGGUACCCAAUCCUUGGCCUUCCUGAGAAUCUGAAGUAAGGAGUUGUUCGCAGUUCCUGCUGGUCACCUCCUGGGAUGGUCCUCCCCCACUCUACUUCCUGUACAAUCCUAUGGGAUGGGGACAGUCUUGAGAAAAUGGUUGCCUCAGCUUGGAGCUGAACCUGACAUUUGUAGGUGGAGAACAUCUUGAAAUGUCGAUGCUUCUCUCAUCAGAGGUAGAUGUUGGGUGGGAGGGAGGAGGAGAGAUAGGACGUCCCCUGCCCUACGUGGCUGUCCCUCUUCAACUCAACCCAUAAGCAUCACCCUGCCGGUUCUAAAACAUUUGCUGUCCUGGGAUAGAGGAAUCUGAACCAAAGCUAGAGUGGACGUCUUCUUCAAGUGUUUGUGGCUUUACCUCACAUGGCUGAAUGUGUCAUCCACGAGCUACAGACCUUGGGGACAGGAGUGGCUUUGGUCGCUUUUUAGUUUUUUGUUUUGUUUUGUUUUUUUCUUUUUUAAUUUAUGUUUGAAAUUUACUUAGUUUAAAGCAGGUCCUCUCCAUUGUGUAAUGGUUAAUUUUGUAAGUAAUGUAUUUAUGUGUUCCUUUGUUCUGUAUAUAGCUGGCCAGGGUCUCCUGACUCGGCCUCAUGAGUAGAUCAUUGUAGUUCUGGAUAUGAGACACUGACUGGCUCUAGAAAUACCUCAUUCACCCGUGGGAAGAGGAGAUAGGUAGAACCUCUUAGUGGGUUAUUGGCAGAGCGCCAACCUCCUGGCUUCACCUUCCUCCGGGGUCUGUGAGGUGUAUGCAAGGCAGGAAGGGAGACUGAGGCUGGUCCCCUGGGGGAAGGGAGCCAUAGAUAGCAGCUGGCUGCUCCGUCCAGGUGCUUUCCUGACUGGUCUCACCCAGGAUGUUAGCCAAAGAAAACCAAAGGGUUUGUUCUCACUGUGUAGAGGGCUCAGUUUGUAGGUCAGUCAGUGUUUUAAGACGGUUUGACAAAUAAAAGGAAGCCACCAAACACUGUUUUUAAAGUCAUCUGAUUGUUGGAGCAGACCAUACAAAGCAUUGAGAGAAUUCAACCAAGCCUCAGGGAUGUCUCGGGGGUGUUGGUGCAUUUGCCCUCCUAGCAGAUCCCACCUCCGGUUUGUCUUGUGUUUUACACGAGACGUUCGAUGUCUGUCUGCUUCCUCAGACUGAGCCACACCGAGCUGCCGACUCUCCUUUUUAUACAUGUUAUUUAUUCCGGACUGUUCGAGGAACGGGAGGACGUCAAUGCCCUGUUCUCUGCUCUCUGAGUACGGUUCGCUCUGAAUCCGAAAGUUCACCUCUCCCUUCAAAAUAUUAAAUUGACCACCAACAUUAAACCUGGAUAGGAUGUAAUAAAGAAGGAAUAGCCUUGCAACACUAAAACAGAGAUAACAUAAAGACCAAAAGAAAACUCAACCUUGUAGCCCCUAAGUUUUGAACAUCUUUCAAAUGUGUGCUGAGCAGAGCCUGGUUACAUCCGAACAAGCUCCCUGGGAUGCCCAGAGGGAAGGUCGAAUGUUGAUUUGUUCCAGGCUGGCACUGCCUAUCUGGUGUAGCUCCCUCAACCUGCAGUAACCGAAACAGACCUGAAAACCAAAGCCAUCUAUAGAUGUGUACACCACUAGAGGGUAGCCACGGAGUGCAGAUGGAUUCUGACUAAAGUUUUCAAUCUUGAAUUUAAAACUUUUAAAAUCAAGCACCACCUAGGAAGGGACACUUUUUUUUCUUUUUUUAAAGGUGAAGGUGUGUGUGUGUGUGUGUGUGUGUGUGUGUGUGUGUGUGUGUGUGUGUGUGUGUGUGUAGCUUUUUAAGGAAGUUGGCUUUCAAUCCAGAGCAUGAGACAGUGUGCUGUGUUCCUAGCACUAGGUUGACAGCCCUCUGCUAAGCUACUUUGUGGUAUUCAAUGACCUUUGACUCAUCUCAAAUCCCUGGGCACUCGGUUUUGUCACUAUGUACAGUAGAGAACUAGUUGAAAUUAACCAUGUGAUGUUAACUAUUAUUAAUAAAUUUUAACUUUUUUUUUUUUCAAAAUAUUCAG
rnacentral:lncRNA from 1 species